GGUCAAAGUCAUGGGAUUAAAAAGGCAUUUUCUUUGGAUGAAUGUUGGCAAUGGUAACUGUGCAAUUUUCUCUGCCUUUCAAAUCUUUUUGAAGAUGGCCUUGAAAAGUUACUACACU